rnacentral:rRNA from 1 species
AUUGAACGCUGGCGGCAUGCCUUACACAUGCAAGUCGAACGGUAGAGUAGCAAUACUUGAGAGUGGCGAACGGGUGAGUAAUAUAUCGGAACGUGCCCAGUCGUGGGGGAUAACGUAGAGAAAUUUACGCUAAUACCGCAUACGAUCUAAGGAUGAAAGCGGGGGGAUUCGCAAGAACCUCGCGCGAUUGGAGCGGCUGAUAUCAGAUUAGGUUGUUGGUGAGGUAAAGCUCACCAAGCCGACGAUCUGUAGCUGGUUUGAGAGAACGACCAGCCACACUGGGACUGAGACACGGCCCAGACUCCUACGGGAGGCAGCAGUGGGGAAUUUUCCGGCAAUGGGCGCAAGCCUGAUCCAGCCAUGCCGCGUGCAGGAAGAAGGUCCUAUGGAUUGUAAACUGCUUUUAUACAAGAAGAAACACUCCCUACGUGAGGGAACUUGACGGUACUGUAUGAAUAGGACG